GCCCAUUUAGAGCAGUGGUUAGCUCGCUCGUCUCCGGCGUACUCUAGAUAACGAGAAGGCGGGGGUUCGAAUCCCCCAAUGGGUA
rnacentral:tRNA from 1 species